GGUGGGUUGGCUCAGUAGUUAGAGCCUAGGCCUCGUAAUCGAAAGGUCGCGGGAUCGAAUCCCGCAUCAGGCU
rnacentral:tRNA from 1 species